rnacentral:rRNA from 1 species
CGCGUAGGUGGUUACGUAAGUGAGAUGUGAAAUCCCUGGGCUUAACCUAGGAAGGUCAUCUUAUACUGCGUAGCUGGAGUGCAAUAGAGGGUAGUGGAAUUUCCGGUGUAGCGGUGAAAUGCGUAGAUAUCGGAAGGAACAUCAGUGGCGAAGGCGGCUACCUGGAUUGACACUGACACUGAGGCGCGAGAGCGUGGGGAGCAAACAGGAUUAGAUACCCUGGUAGUCCACGCUGUAAACGAUGAAAACUAGAUGUUGUGCAGCAUAGACUGUUCAGUAUCGAAGCUAACGCGAUAAGUUUUCCGCCUGGGGAGUACGGUCGCAAGAUUAAA